rnacentral:rRNA from 1 species
UGCAGUCGAACGAUGAAGCUUCUAGCUUGCUAGAAGUGGAUUAGUGGCGCACGGGUGAGUAAGGUAUAGUUAAUCUGCCCUACACAAGAGGACAACAGUUGGAAACGACUGCUAAUACUCUAUACUCCUGCUUAACACAAGUUGAGUAGGGAAAGUUUUUCGGUGUAGGAUGAGACUAUAUAGUAUCAGCUAGUUGGUAAGGUAAUGGCUUACCAAGGCUAUGACGCUUAACUGGUCUGAGAGGAUGAUCAGUCACACUGGAACUGAGACACGGUCCAGACUCCUACGGGAGGCAGCAGUAGGGAAUAUUGCGCAAUGGGGGAAACCCUGACGCAGCAACGCCGCGUGGAGGAUGACACUUUUCGGAGCGUAAACUCCUUUUCUUAGGGAAGAAUUCUGACGGUACCUAAGGAAUAAGCACCGGCUAACUCCGUGCCAGCAGCCGCGGUAAUACGGAGGGUGCAAGCGUUACUCGGAAUCACUGGGCGUAAAGGGCGCGUAGGCGGAUUAUCAAGUCUCUUGUGAAAUCUAAUGGCUUAACCAUUAAACUGCUUGGGAAACUGAUAGUCUAGAGUGAGGGAGAGGCAGAUGGAAUUGGUGGUGUAGGGGUAAAAUCCGUAGAUAUCACCAAGAAUACCCAUUGCGAAGGCGAUCUGCUGGAACUCAACUGACGCUAAGGCGCGAAAGCGUGGGGAGCAAACAGGAUUAGAUACCCUGGUAGUCCACGCCCUAAACGAUGUACACUAGUUGUUGGGGUGCUAGUCAUCUCAGUAAUGCAGCUAACGCAUUAAGUGUACCGCCUGGGGAGUACGGUCGCAAGAUUAAAACUCAAAGGAAUAGACGGGGACCCGCACAAGCGGUGGAGCAUGUGGUUUAAUUCGAAGAUACGCGAAGAACCUUACCUGGGCUUGAUAUCCUAAGAACCUUUUAGAGAUAAGAGGGUGCUAGCUUGCUAGAACUUAGAGACAGGUGCUGCACGGCUGUCGUCAGCUCGUGUCGUGAGAUGUUGGGUUAAGUCCCGCAACGAGCGCAACCCACGUAUUUAGUUGCUAACGGUUCGGCCGAGCACUCUAAAUAGACUGCCUUCGUAAGGAGGAGGAAGGUGUGGACGACGUCAAGUCAUCAUGGCCCUUAUGCCCAGGGCGACACACGUGCUACAAUGGCAUAUACAAUGAGACGCAAUACCGCGAGGUGGAGCAAAUCUAUAAAAUAUGUCCCAGUUCGGAUUGUUCUCUGCAACUCGAGAGCAUGAAGCCGGAAUCGCUAGUAAUCGUAGAUCAGCCAUGCUACGGUGAAUACGUUCCCGGGUCUUGUACUCACCGCCCGUCACACCAUGGGAGUUGAUUUCACUCGAAGCCGGAAUACUAAACUA